UGUGUGCACUAUUGACGUUUGUUUGUUGAUUUUGAAACCAGUUGAUAAUUUGCAAGUGAUGUGGAUGCUGAAAUUUUUAUUUCACUUCUUCAACAACUACCAGUGCUGUGGAACUAAUUCUGUGAUGCAAAUUUCUGCUCAAAGAGAAGCAAUGGUCACAGGUGCACGAUGUCAUCAUUGAGCAUUUUACCACGGACUGUGUUAUUAACGGCAACAUUCCUUAUUUGAAAUUAUUACUGAACGAGAUCGCGGAGGUCAAACAAAUCUCCAACUGGUUCAUCGAGGGGCGGAUUUUGAGCGACUUAAUCGAGCUGAAUGAGAAGUUUGACCUGACCCGGGACACGAUCGACGACGAAACCGAGGCACUCAAGCCCAAACUGUCCUAUAUGUGCUCUGUGGUCAAAAUGUUCCCAUGCCCGACGCCAAAGCAUCGGUUCUGUCAGAACGAAAUUCCAGCUUAUCUGAUUCGGUCAUUCUUUGCUCCGGAUCCGCGUAUUUAUAGCUGUGAUGCGAAUUGGGCUCGAGAAGCUGCCAUUGCCCCAGGAUUACGUGCUCGAGGUAUUGCGGCAUAUGUUGAGCGCGUUCUUGGACGAGGAUCAGCGGAAGCAGCAAUGGAAUAGUGUUUGAACCAAGCCCCGGGCAAGGGGAUAUGAUCCGCGAGUCAAGAUGUGCUACAAAUUUAGCUGUCAUUGCCAAACCUAUCAAAUUACUCGGCGAACUCAAGGCAAAUCUAUGGAACAAGGUGCGCCCAUUCGCUAACUAAAAAAAGAAUUGUUUUUUGAAAAAAAAAUUUAUGUGAAAUGUAAUGAUCAUGAUGAUCACAAGGGUCUGAAUGAUAAUAUAAAACGUAGAACCCUAGGUUGAUCACUUGAAAUGUAGUAUUAUAUUAUAAUGUAAACCAACUUAAGAAAUUGAAAGAAUUUAAGUGAAAUAAAAGGGUUUGAACGUAAAAA